UUUUGAGUUUCCGUAGAGUUAAGGGUCCAUUGUGGCUGAGGAGGAAAGCACAGUUCUAUACAGAAGGUAGAAGAUGUCUGCAAGGCCCUCUACUCAGGAACUUUUCAUGUGCACUUCUUUGGAGUCCUGAUAGUGACCAUCAACAGAAAAUUUGUUCACAUCAACAGACAAAGGUGAAAGUGAGAAUGGAUUUCCGAAGCAGGUAAACCCUUGGUAAUAAAGCAUUUUAG